GAAAAUGUUUAAUAAAGAAGCAAAACGAUAUUCCAAUCAAGUGAGUUUUUAAACACACUGCUCUUGACACUUUCAAAACCAGCACUCCGGUUUGAAAGCUGUCAUCUCUUAUUGAUUUACCCUGUUAAUUCUAUUAAUUCCAUAUCAGACAGUUUAUAUGAAUGGGAAGAGGCACGUCAAGGUAAAAUGACUGGAUUGCAGUCUGUGCCAUUCACAAGGCACAUACACAAGGCAAGAAAGAAUGUGCAUUUUUAAAUAAGAUAUGAUGGUAGGUUAAAGUGUGUAACAUUGGUUGGUUGUACAUGCUCAACAGUUUGCAAGGUGCAGGAAGGAUGGCCCACUACACAAGGAUAGUCGCAAAAAGAUGAUGAAAUGAGUUUGGGACCGCAACAGAAGGAUUAUAAUAAGCACAUCACUGGCACCGAAAGACCCAUGAAAGAAUCUUCAAAUGCGGUAUAUCAGCCAUUAUCAACAAAUAGUUUUCCCAUUUUACAAGCAUCUAUUAAAUUCAAUAGCACAUCUCUAAUCUCCACAUGCUGUUAGAUUGAUAAUUCACUCCUUAUGUGAAAUAUACUUUUUUUCCCCCAAGUCUUAGUGAAUUACUUUGUGUCCCCUGCAUGGACUUGUUAAUGGACAGUGAGGCAUAAAGGCAGAAAGAUAUAACAGCAUUCAUUCAUUAAAAUAGGAGCAGACCUCUAGUGAGUAUCUGCAAUCAAGAGGUGGUGGAACACAAAGGAUCCGAUAAAGAGUUUCACUGACACUUGAAUGCUGUUGUGGAAAAUGGAAGAUACUUAAAUCAUUCCGGUUUUCAUUGGGUGAAUCAGGCAGGAAGAAUACAGUGCAGGGGGCACAGAUCUUUUCCCCACAGAGUGUCAGCCAAGCCAGCGGCAUUACUGUAGCGUAGAGGCAUAACCUCCAUUU